rnacentral:rRNA from 1 species
AACGAACGCUGGCGGCGCGCCUAACACAUGCAAGUCGAACGAGAAGCUGUAGCAAUACAGUUGUACAGUGGCGAACGGGUGAGGAAUACAUGGGUGACCUACCCUCGAGUGGGGAAUAACCAGCCGAAAGGUUGGCUAAUACCGCGUACGUUUCCCAGUUUACGGAUUGGGAAGGAAAGCGAUGCCGGUGGGUAUCGCGCUCAAGGUUGGGCUCAUGUCCUAUCAGCUUGUUGGUGAGGUAACGGCUCACCAAGGCAACGACGGGUAGCUGGUCUGAGAGGACGAUCAGCCACACUGGCACUGCGACACGGGCCAGACUCCUACGGGAGGCAGCAGUGAGGAAUAUUGCGCAAGUGGGACGAAAGCCUGACGCAGCGACGCCGCGGUGGGGGAGUGGAA